GCCCUAGUAGCUCAGAGAUCAAAGCGACGGCCUUGUAAGCCGAAUGUCCGGAAGUUCAAGCCUUUCCUAGCGCU
rnacentral:tRNA from 1 species